ACAAAAAAACAAAAAUAUUUACAUGUACAAAUGUACAAAUGCAUGGUCAAGUUAGGAAGAGUACAGAGUUAAAUAAAUCGAGCUAAUAUUUUUGUAUCAAAUAUGGACAAUGUUUUAAUGAAUCAAUGUCAUUGGUAUUCAUAAGGUUCUCACGAUUGGUAUUCACGAUUCUUAGAAAAUGUUAAUGAACAACGAAGCUAAAGUGUGGAAGUAAAUUUGUACUUCUGGUAUGCAAUAUUUUUGUAUUCUUUAUUCAGUGUUUUUGCUGAACUUUUUUAAUAUCCCAUUAUCAUGUUGUAUUUGUUUGAUAAACAUGUUAUUUUGAUAUAUUAGAACCUUUUGAACAAGACCUUGGACUUUCAGUAGGAUGUAACGAUCUAUUUCUUGCGUCAAAACAAGUUAAAAUGAGCUGGUUUCAAGCAAAAUAUACACCGAUUGCAUAGUCUUCACUCAAAAGCCAGACAAAUCCUGUUAUUUCAGAGAGCCAUGGCCGAGCGGUCUACAAUGAAAUAGACAGGCCUACAUCACAUUGCCGUUUGACACAACCACCCAAAGUCCAAGCUUUUGUUAAAAUGGUUCUAUAAUAAAGUUCCGUUACACAAC
rnacentral:misc_RNA from 1 species